rnacentral:rRNA from 1 species
UACAGAGGUCUCAAGCGUUGUUCGGAUUCAUUGGGCGUAAAGGGUGCGUAGGCGGCGCGGUAAGUCGGGUGUGAAAUCUCGGAGCUUAACUCCGAAACUGCAUUCGAUACUGCCGUGCUUGAGGACUGGAGAGGAGGGUGGAAUUCCCAGUGUAGCGGUGAAAUGCGUAGAUAUUGGGGAGGAACACCGGGUGGCGAAGGCGGCCCUCUGGACCGGUACUGACGCUGAUGCGCGAAAGCGUGGGUAGCAAACGGGG